rnacentral:rRNA from 1 species
ACAAGUACCGUGAGGGAAAGUUGCAAAGCACUUUGAAGAGAGAGUUAAAGAGGACGUGAAACCGGUGAGAUGGAAACGGAUAGAGCUAGCGUAUCUAGCCUGCAUUCAACCGUAUCGAUUUGGCCCCUCUUGCAGCUGGCUACCCCAGAUUGGGACAGUUGUGUUGCGUGUCGAACGUUAUGGUGCAUUUGCAGGUGGAGUGCGCCGAGGCGCUUGGAACAGCGGUGUGAUCUCGAUUUUGAGGCCAGCUUGCUGGUACCCGGACCGGGGGAGUGCUGUUUGUUCCGGGUGUUUUGGCAUGGCUUACGGGCUCGUGUGGGUUCCGAGCUGGCAGUGGGCGGCGGUCGCAUGCGACACGUGCUCUACAGUCAGUUCGGUCUUAUACGAGCUCUCAUGCCUGUUCUCGGUGUAAAAGCUGGUCAUCUAUCCGACCCGUCUUGAAACACGGACCAAGGAGUUUAUCGUGUGCGCAAGUCAUUGGGCGUUGAAAACCCAAAGGCGCAAUGAAAGUGAAUGCCUCCGUAAGGAGCUGACGUGCGAUCCUGAGCACUCCGGUGUUUGGGCGCAGCAUGGCCCCAUUCUGACUGCUUGCAGUAGGGUGGAGGAAGAGCGCAUGCGGUGAGACCCGAAAGAUGGUGAACUAUUCCUGAGCAGGAUGAAGCCAGAGGAAACUCUGGUGGAAGUCCGAAGCGAUUCUGACGUGCAAAUCGAUCGUCUGACUUGGGUAUAGGGGCGAAAGACUAAUCGAACCAUCUAGUAGCUGGUUCCUUCCGA